GAUGAACGCUAGCGAUAGGCUUAACACAUGCAAGUCGAGGGGCAGCACAAGGUAGCUUGCUAUCUGGGUGGCGACCGGCGCACGGGUGCGUAACGCGUAUGCAACUUGCCCUAUACAGGAGGAUAACCAGUCGAAAGACGGACUAAUACUGCGUAUGCUCACAACUUGGCAUCAAGUGGUGAGGAAAGAAAUUCGGUAUAGGAUAGGCAUGCGUCCCAUUAGCUUGUUGGUGAGGUAACGGCUCACCAAGGCAACGAUGGGUAGGGGAACUGAGAGGUUUAUCCCCCACACUGGUACUGAGACACGGACCAGACUCCUACGGGAGGCAGCAGUGAGGAAUAUUGGUCAAUGGGCGCGAGCCUGAACCAGCCAAGUCGCUUGAAGGGGGACUGUCUUAUGGAUUGUAAUCUUCUUUUAUACGGGAAUAACAAGAGUCACGUGUGACUCCCUGCAUGUACCGUAUGAAUAAGCAUCGGCUAACUCCGUG
rnacentral:rRNA from 1 species